GAUGAACGCUGGCGGCGUGCCUAACACAUGCAAGUCGAGCGAGAAUUUCAUGACAGAUUCUUCGGAUGAUGGAUUGGAAGGAAAGCGGCGGACGGGUGAGUAACACGUGGAGAACCUGCCCCCUCCCCGGGAUAGCCGCCCGAAAGGACGGGUAAUACCGGAUACCCCGGGGUGCCGCAUGGCGCCCCGGCUAAAGCCCCGACGGGAGGGGAUGGCUCCGCGGCCCAUCAGGUAGACGGCGGGGUGACGGCCCACCGUGCCGACAACGGGUAGCCGGGUUGAGAGACCGACCGGCCAGAUUGGGACUGAGACACGGCCCAG
rnacentral:rRNA from 1 species